rnacentral:rRNA from 1 species
UUUGGCUCAGGACGAACGCUGGCGGCAGGCCUAACACAUGCAAGUCGAGCGGCAGCGGGAAAGUAGCUUGCUACUUUUGCCGGCGAGCGGCGGACGGGUGAGUAAUGCCUGGGAAAUUGCCCAGUCGAGGGGGAUAACAGUUGGAAACGACUGCUAAUACCGCAUACGCCCUACGGGGGAAAGCAGGGGACCUUCGGGCCUUGCGCGAUUGGAUAUGCCCAGGUGGGAUUAGCUAGUUGGUGAGGUAAUGGCUCACCAAGGCGACGAUCCCUAGCUGGUCUGAGAGGAUGAUCAGCCACACUGGAACUGAGACACGGUCCAGACUCCUACGGGAGCAGCAGUAG